rnacentral:misc_RNA from 1 species
CCCUGCAACCCUCCGUGAACGUGUCUAAAGGUAAGAUUAAUUCUGGUCGCCUCUGCUUUUGCACGCUUAGGCACUGAGUGGAGCCAAUCUCUUUGUGUGUAACCUCUCAUCACCAAUAGUGAUCCAUGUUUUAGCGUAAAAGAAUGCUGAUCAACAUGGCAGCAUUUCUUUAAUCGCUUGCUAGCAGGUUCAUCAUCAGAUCUUCUUUCUU